UACGUAGGGUGCAAGCGUUAAUCGGAAUUACUGGGCGUAAAGCGUGCGCAGGCGGUUGUGCAAGACCGAUGUGAAAUCCCCGGGCUUAACCUGGGAAUUGCAUUUGUGACUGCACGGCUAGAGUGUGUCAGGGGGGGGUAGAAUUCCACGUGUAGCAGUGAAAUGCGUAGAUAUGUGGAGGAAUACCGAUGGCGAAGGCAGCCCCCUGGGAUAACACUGACGCUCAUGCACGAAAGCGUGGGGAGCAAACAGG
rnacentral:rRNA from 1 species